UCAGGGACUGCGGGUGGCACAUGCGCCCUUUCUCCAGGAAAAAGGAACUGGGGUGGGGGUCAGAGCGAGGUUAUUUCCUGAAUCCCCGUGCUCAGACUCAGCACCUAGAGCAGAAGCGGGACGGAUUCUGAGAGCAAGAGAGACGGCCAGACAGACGCUUCACUGUCCUGCCUCCUCCUCAUCCAGUUCAGGAGGGUGGACACAAAGAGUUGGUGGGCAAAGCCAUGUGGACUGAGCAAGCGAGUGGAUCGGGGACAGGCAGGAGACGGGAGAGAUCUCCAGAAGAGGAGCCACCCACCGCACAGUAUGGAUGGUGGCAAAAGACCUUGCGGGCGCUAAAGACCCUUCUGCUCUUCAGUAUAAUCCUUGGUCUUUCUCUGCUGCUUUGGGGCUACGUGUUCCAGGGCUGUGGUCCUUCCCCUUGCAAGACGUCUGUGUGUCAGGACAUCCUGGAUCUCUACCUGGCUUCUGGGAACACCAGCGUGGCCCCCUGCACUGAUUUCUUUAGCUUUGCCUGUGGAAACAUCAACAGGACUGGCAGUCCUUUUCAGGCUCUUGCAGAGGAGAACAGGCGCCUAGUUCGAAGAAUCCUGGAAACCCCGGGUUCCUGGCACCUGGCCCCUGGGGAGGAGAAAGCCUUCGGAUUCUACAACUCCUGCAUGAACACGGAUGCCAUUGAGGCAGCAGGGGCCGGUCCCCUCAGACAGGUUAUUGAGGAGCUUGGCGGCUGGCCGAUCUCCGGUAACUGGACUGUCUCCGGUAACUCGACUCCGUUAGAUUUUAACCAAACUCUGAGCCUUCUGAUGAGUCAAUAUGGUCACUUCCCAUUCUUCAGAGCCUAUUUGCAGCCUCUUCCCACCCCUCCAUACCUGCCAGUCAUCCAGAUAGACCAGCCAGAGUUUGACGUUCUCCUCGAGCAAAAACAGGAAACAAACUAUGCCCAGAUCCUGCGGGAAUACCUGAAUUACCUGAAUCGCCUGGUAACCUUGCUGGGAAGAGACCCAAGCCAAGUGCAUGACGACGCCUCCUUUUUCAUCUUCAUUAACUCACAGCUGAACCAGAUGCUGAAGUCUGGGGAGCAGCAGCGGGCCCAGGGCAAAGUCUUCAAGAUGGUCACGAUUGACCAGUUGCAGAGAGUGGCCCCUGCCAUCGACUGGUUGUCCUGCUUGCAAGCAACGUUCGCACCGAUGUCCCUGAGCCCCUCUUAUCGCGUCGCAGUCCAUGACCUGGAGUAUUUGAAAAACAUGUCACAACUGCUUGAGAAGCAGCUGUUGAAGCACAGGGACUUCCUGCAAAGCCACAUGAUCUUCGGGCUGGUGAGGACACUUUCACCAGCCCUGGACAGUCAGUUCCAAGAGGCACAAAGAUUGCUGAGCCAGAAAGUGGGGGAACUGACAGGACGCCCACCCAUGCCGGUCCACCCUCGCUGGAUGAUGUGCGUGGAGAAGACAGAAGCUUUCUUCGAGCCCACACUGGCCGCCUUGUUCAUCCAGGAGACUUUCAGACCCAGCACCCAUAGUGCUGCCAUGGAAUUAUUCACUACCAUCAAGGAUACCCUCAUCUCUCACCUUCCUACAGUUCCCUGGAUGGAUGGAGAGACCCGGGCAGAGGCCCAGGACAAGCUUACCCAACUGCAGGUGAAGAUGGGGCCCUCGGAGUGGGCCCUGAAGCCAGACCCGGCCAGACAGGAAUACGACGACGUGCAACUUGGACCCAGCUUCCUCCAGACCUUCCUGAGUUGCGUCCGCUCCCGCCAAGCCAGAGUCAUCCAGGGGUUCUUGCAGCCUUUCUCCAGUCACAGGUGGCAGGUGCCUCCCUGGGGCCUCAAGGCUUCCUAUUCAAUACCUGACAACGUGAUGGUCUUCCCAGCCGGGCUCCUCCAACCCCCAUUUUUCCACCCUGGCUACCCCAGAGCUGUGAACUUUGGCGCUGCUGGCAGCAUUAUGGCCCGUGAGCUGUUGCACAUCUUUGACCAGCUCUUACUCCCCGGGGGCUGCCCGGCCUGUGACACCCGUGCCCUGCAGAAGGCACUGCUGUGCCUGGAACGCCUCUAUGCUGCCUUUCCGUCACCCAGGGGAACCUCCUUCGAUGUCUCCCACACGCUCCUGGAGGAUGCUGCAGACGCCGGGGCACUGGCCAUCGCACUGAAGGCAUACAAAAAGAGGCUAGUACUGUUCCGUGGGGAAACCAUCCUGCCCGGCCUAGACCUCAGCCCCCGGCAACUCUUCUUCCGAAGCUAUGCCCAGGUGAUGUGUAGGGACCCCAGCACCCAGGAUCCUCAGGACAUUCACAGCCCUCCUACCCUUCGAGUCCACGGUCCCCUAAGCAACAGUCCAGCCUUCACCAGACACUUCCGCUGUCCCCAGGGGGCCCUCCUGAACCCCUCCAGCCGCUGCCAACUCUGGUAA
rnacentral:lncRNA from 1 species